UUUCAUAAAAAUGUACACAACCUAGAAGUCUGCCUGAUACUCUUUGACAAACAUUUGAGGAUAAGUCUCUUUGGAUAUUUUGAUUUCUUGAAAUGCAUCUUUAUGCUUUUUUUUUCAAAUCAAUGACACCUUUUUUUUUUUUAUAACUAUUAACAUUGUCCUUGAGUGAUCCUAAAAAAAUCUUUUAAGAUCAAGUAUGGCCAAUAGUUAUAAUAAAAAGAAUAUGGAUGAUAUGUUACCCUACUUUACAUACUCUCCACCUACUUUUAGAUCAUCUAAUAACCAUCUUUAUUGAAGUCUCAUGUAUGUUGCAUAUUUUAAUUUUUGUCUUUUAUUUUAAUAACAUGAAAGUAUGGAGGUGGUCCCAAAGUUUUUGUUUCAUUACAAUUUUACUAGACAAAGUUGUUGAUAAUAUAUAUUUCUUAGGGGCUCUGAGUUAUAGCUUGUGUUGCCUAAAGUAAAUCUGGCCCUGCUUGUAAGCGUUAAUAAACAUUGAUGAAUAUAUUUUUCAAAUCUUCAUUUUUCUUUUCUUCUGACUGUACUUGUGUUUGCAAUUAGCUUUAUUUUUAUCCUGUAGUUAAAGUGUUGUUAUAUUCUGAUAUAAAAACUGUUUGUUGUAGAUUAAAAAUAUUUGAUCAAAUGUAGGUAGUACCAGUAUAAUAGAAGUAUCAUCUUUUAAAAAAGGUGAUUUUAAAGAUUUAAAAAAAAAAAGGAAUACAUUUUUAAAAAAUGUAAUAAAUACAGGU